rnacentral:rRNA from 1 species
AUUGAACGCUGGCGGAAUGCUUUACACAUGCCAGUCGAACGGCAGCACGGGGGCAACCCUGGUGGCGAGUGGCGAACGGGUGAGUAAUACAUCGGAACGUGCCCGGUCGUGGGGGAUAACGUAGCGAAAGUUACGCUAAUACCGCAUACGAUCUGAGGAUGAAAGCGGGGGACCUUCGGGCCUCGCGCGAUCGGAGCGGCCGAUGUCAGAUUAGGUAGUUGGUGGGGUAAAGGCCUACCAAGCCGACGAUCUGUAGCUGGUCUGAGAGGACGACCAGCCACACUGGGACUGAGACACGGCCCAGACUCCUACGGGAGGCAGCAGUGGGGAAUUUUGGACAAUGGGCGCAAGCCUGAUCCAGCCAUUCCGCGUGCAGGACGAAGGCCUUCGGGUUGUAAACUGCUUUUGUAUGGAACGAAAAGGCUCUGGCUAAUACCUGGGGCUCAUGACGGUACCGUAAGAGUAAGCACCGGCUAACUACGUG